rnacentral:lncRNA from 1 species
CAGCGGCAGUGAGGCGAGCGCGUUUCUGGGAGCGGGUGGUAGGACCGGAGGAGGAAGAUGAAGGGGCUGUUGAGGAGGCCUCCGCCCGCUUCCGGCUCCGAGUUUCCAUACAAGAACUAAACCGCCACGAUUAAAUCCGUGGUCGCGAUUCACGCGGCACCGGAUCGGGUAGUAAUCCUGGGCAUCUGACAGCAAGAAGAUCAAAAACCCUUAAAAUUGAGGAGGGGAAUUACACUGCUGGUUUCGUAUCCGUCGAAAUCAAGCAAUCCAAACAACGAACAAAUCGGCAACCCUAGAAAUUAUAUACAAGUGAAUAAUUAGAAAAAGAGAAUUGAGAGAAUUGGAUGGGUAAAUAAGGUUGAAUUAGGG